rnacentral:rRNA from 1 species
UCAUAAAGUAUGUCGUAGUCCGGAUUGGAGUCUGCAACUCGACUCCAUGAAGUCGGAAUCGCUAGUAAUCGUAGAUCAGAAUGCUACGGUGAAUACGUUCCCGGGCCUUGUACACACCGCCCGUCACACCAUGGGAGUGGGUUGCAAAAGAAGUAGGUAGCUUAACCU